rnacentral:rRNA from 1 species
GACGAACCGAGCGAACGUUGUUCGGAAUCACUGGGCUUAAAGGGCGCGUAGGCGGGUGCUCAAGUCCGUGGUGAAAUCCUCCGGCUCAACCGGAGAAUUGCCUCGGAUACUGGGUGCCUCGAGGGUGGUAGGGGGUAUGCGGAACUAUCGGUGGAGCGGUGAAAUGCGUUGAUAUCGAUAGGAACUCCGGUGGCGAAGGCGGCAUACUGGACCACCUCUGACGCUGAGGCGCGAAAGCCAGGGGAGCAAACGGG